AUGACCUCAAAUCAGAUGAGACUACCCGCUGAACUUAAGCAUAUCGUUGUAAAUUGAAGAGAGUGUCAUCCACUCUGGACCAUGUCUAAUUGUAAUGAUCCACAGUCCUUUGAUGGAGUAUC
rnacentral:rRNA from 1 species